rnacentral:rRNA from 1 species
UACAGAGGGUGCAAGCGUUAAUCGGAAUUACUGGGCGUAAAGCGUGCGCAGGCGGUUUUGUAAGCCAGAUGUGAAAGCCCCGGGCUUAACCUGGGAAUGGCAUUUGGGACUGCAAGGCUGGAGUGUGGCAGAGGAGACUGGAAUUCCUGGUGUAGCAGUGAAAUGCGUAGAUAUCAGGAGGAAUACCGAUGGCGAAGGCAGGUCUCUGGGCUGACACUGACGCUCAUGCACGAAAGCGUGGGGAGCAAACAGG